rnacentral:rRNA from 1 species
UACGUAGGGUGCAAGCGUUAAUCGGAAUUACUGGGCGUAAAGCGUGCGCAGGCGGUUGUGCAAGACAGAUGUGAAAUCCCCGGGCUCAACCUGGGAACUGCAUUUGUGACUGCACGGCUGGAGUGCGGCAGAGGGGGAUGGAAUUCCGCGUGUAGCAGUGAAAUGCGUAGAUAUGCGGAGGAACACCGAUGGCGAAGGCAAUCCCCUGGGCCUGCACUGGACGCUCAUGCACGAAAGCGUGGGGAGCAAACAGG